ACAAAAGUCCUGGCUUAUUAAUAGUGUGGAUCUUUACUUUUUGAUUGAGCAAGUAUUUCAAAGAUUAGUUGAGGGGCGGAACCAAAGGGCCCAAGAACUGCAAGUAGGAUGCGUGACACACAACAUCUGUAUGCAGACUAGAACCUUAGGUUCUUUAUUUUACUUCGUUUCUAUCCCGAAAGUUCUUUUAAGGAUGCUCAGCAGCUGUGACCUGGUUUACUAGAUGUGGGUAGUUUGGAGACAGAGAUUUUACACAAUUCAAGUAAAAGGAAAUGAGGUAGUGAGAGUGAAAUUAGCAGAGUGCUUCUGAUAGGUCAGGCAUCCUGUGAGGGACAUCUCAUUGUGCCAAUAAGAAACAAAAACAUGUCAGAGUGCCAGGGCCCCGGCUACUUCUGAGUUGUUAGGAGUGGGCGAUGUUUGAAUUUUGCUUUGUUUUGUUUUUCCAGAGAAGGUUUCUCUGUGUAGCUUUGCCUGUCCAGGCUGGCCUGGAACUUACAGAGGCUCUCCUGCCUAUGCCCUCAUUCUGUUGGAUAAAGUGAGUGUUGGGAUUAAAGGUGUGCGCCAUCACCCCCCCAGCUAUGUUUUUGAAAUCUUAAGUGUCAAAUUUCUUUUUUGAUCAGAAGAUUUAAUUUAAGGUAACAAGUGUCAAUCGUUUUGAAAAUGAGAAAGUCAGUGUAUUAGUCAUGAAAAAUUAUUUAUGUAUUUUGUAUUUGUGGCAAAUGUACUUUG
rnacentral:lncRNA from 1 species